CCUACGGGAUGCAGCAGUGAGGAAUAUUGGUCAAUGGCCGGAAGGCUGAACCAGCCAUGCCGCGUGAAGGUCAGUGCCCUAUGGGCGUUAAACUUCUUUUGUGCGGGAGCAAUAAUGGUCACGUGUGGCCAGACGAGAGUACCGUACGAAUAAGCAUCGGCUAACUCCGUGCCAGCAGCCGCGGUAAUACGGGGGAUGCAAGCGUUAUCCGGAUUUAUUGGGUUUAAAGGGUGCGUAGGCUGUGAGGUAAGUCAGCGGUGAAAUGCCCCCGCUCAACGGGGUGAAGUGCCAUUGAUACUGGCUGGCUGGAAUGCGGAUGCCGUGGGAGGAAUGUGUGGUGUAGCGGUGAAAUGCAUAGAUAUCACACAGAACACCGAUUGCGAAGGCAUCUCACGAAUCCGCGAUUGACGCUGAUGCACGAAAGCGUGGGUAUCAAACAGGAUUAGAUACCCGAGUAGUC
rnacentral:rRNA from 1 species